AGUGCGCGCAACCACGAGGCUCAGGGAGGGGUAGCUUCUCUGAAAUGCUGUCCCUCGGAAGGGAAAGGAAGGGACAGCAGGAUUAGAAGGUCCGGGAAGCCUGGAGCUUCCCGCAAAGCCAAGGUCCCAAAGUCAAGGACGCCAGCUGGAAAGGGAAGUGAACGAUCCCCCCCGAUCCAGCUCCCCUCCCGGAUCCAGCUCCCCUCCCUGCUCCCCUUCCACACCCUCUCCCGGAGACCUCGCCACCAGCCCAGGAGACCACGCCCCCUAAAGUCCUUCCGGCUGGAGCCGGGGCCGGCCGGUCUCCGCAGCCCGGGGCGGUGGCUGGACCCGGCAGGGAGGCCGGGAGCUGGAGUCCGGGCGGGGAAGGCGGAACUAGCGUGGAUGAGUGAAGGGUGGCGAGGGAGACAAGUCUGCGGAGAAGGAAAAAGUCUAGAGUGAGAAGAUACCGCUGGAGGCUGAGAGAGACUUCUGGGAAAAGGCUGAGAAGGGGUGGCCAGAGAAGUAAAGGAGCCAGGAGAGAGAGCAGGGGCACAGAAGCCAAGAGAGUGGCGUGUCAAGGACUGAGUGAAGAGCACUGUCAGAUGUUGCAGAGAGGUGAAGCAAGACAAGGAUGGAGAA